rnacentral:rRNA from 1 species
UACGUAGGGGGCAAGCGUUGUCCGGAAUCAUUGGGCGUAAAGCGCGCGUAGGCGGCCCGGUAAGUCCGUUGUGAAAGUCGAAGGCUCAACCUUCGAAAGCCGAUGGAUACUGCCGGGCUAGAGUACGGGAGAGGCGAGUGGAAUUCCUGGUGUAGCGGUGGAAUGCGCAGAUAUCAGGAGGAACACCGAUGGCGAAGGCAGGUCUCUGGGCAUUAACUGACGCUGAGGAGCGAAAGCAUGGGGAGCGAACAGG